GUGAGGAAUAUUGGUCAAUGGACGAGAGUCUGAACCAGCCAAGUCGCGUGAAGGAAGACGGUUCUAUGAAUUGUAAACUUCUUUUGUGCAGGAAUAAAGUGGGUUACGUGUAACCUUUUGUAUGUACUGUACGAAUAAGGAUCGGCUAACUCCGUGCCAGCAGCCGCGGUAAUACGGCGGAUCCGAGCGUUAUCCGGAUUUAUUGGGUUUAAAGGGAGCGUAGGUGGAUUGAUAAGUCAGCGGUGAAAGUUUGCAGCUUAACUGUAAAAUUGCAGUUGAAACUGUCGGUCUUGAGUGCAAAUGAGGUAGGCGGAAUGUGUUGUGUAGCGGUGAAAUGCUUAGAUAUAACACAGAACUCCGAUUGCGAAGGCAGCUUACUGGGAUGCAACUGACACUGAUGCACGAAAGCGUGGGUAUCAAACAGGAUUAGAUACCCUUGUAGUCC
rnacentral:rRNA from 1 species